GGGUCUAUAGCUCAGCGGGAGAGCGCUUCCUUGACGUGGAAUAGGUCGUAGGUUCAAUCCCUACUAGACCCACCA
rnacentral:tRNA from 1 species